GGGGAGCAUGCGGUGCUAUACAUGCAGUCGAGCGGACAGAUGGGAGCUUGCUCCCUGAUGUUAGCGGCGGACGGGUGAGUAACACGUGGGUAACCUGCCUGUAAGACUGGGAUAACUCCGGGAAACCGGGGCUAAUACCGGAUGCUUGUUUGAACCGCAUGGUUCAAACAUAAAAGGUGGCUUCGGCUACCACUUACAGAUGGACCCGCGGCGCAUUAGCUAGUUGGUGAGGUAAUGGCUCACCAAGGCAACGAUGCGUAGCCGACCUGAGAGGGUGAUCGGCCACACUGGGACUGAGACACGGCCCAGACUCCUACGGGAGGCAGCAGUAGGGAAUCUUCCGCAAUGGACGAAAGUCUGACGGAGCAACGCCGCGUGAGUGAUGAAGGUUUUCGGAUCGUAAAGCUCUGUUGUUAGGGAAGAACAAGUACCGUUCGAAUAGGGCGGUACCUUGACGGUACCUAACCAGAAAGCCACGGCUAACUACGUGCCAGCAGCCGCGGUAAUACGUAGGUGGCAAGCGUUGUCCGGAAUUAUUGGGCGUAAAGGGCUCGCAGGCGGUUCCUUAAGUCUGAUGUGAAAGCCCCCGGCUCAACCGGGGAGGGUCAUUGGAAACUGGGGAACUUGAGUGCAGAAGAGGAGAGUGGAAUUCCACGUGUAGCGGUGAAAUGCGUAGAGAUGUGGAGGAACACCAGUGGCGAAGGCGACUCUCUGGUCUGUAACUGACGCUGAGGAGCGAAAGCGUGGGGAGCGAACAGGAUUAGAUACCCUGGUAGUCCACGCCGUAGACGAUGAGUGCUAAGUGUUAGGGGGUUUCCGCCCCUUAGUGCUGCAGCUAACGCAUUAAGCACUCCGCCUGGGGAGUACGGUCGCAAGACUGAAACUCAAAGGAAUUGGACGGGGGGCCCGCACAAGCGGUGGAGCAUGUGGAUUUAAUUCGAGCAACGCGA
rnacentral:rRNA from 1 species